rnacentral:rRNA from 1 species
AGUCCACGCUGUAAACGAUGUCGAUUUGGAGGUUGUGCCCUUGAGGCGUGGCUUCCGGAGCUAACGCGUUAAAUCGACCGCCUGGGGAGUACGGCCGCAAGGUUAAAACUCAAAUGAAUUGACGGGGGCCCGCACAAGCGGUGGAGCAUGUGGUUUAAUUCGAUGCAACGCGAAGAACCUUACCUACUCUUGACAUCCAGAGAACUUUCCAGAGAUGGAUUGGUGCCUUCGGGAACUCUGAGACAGGUGCUGCAUGGCUGUCGUCAGCUCGUGUUGUGAAAUGUUGGGUUAAGUCCCGCAACGAGCGCAACCCUUAUCCUUUGUUGCCAGCGGUUCGGCCGGGAACUCAAAGGAGACUGCCAGUGAUAAACUGGAGGAAGGUGGGGAUGACGUCAAGUCAUCAUGGCCCUUACGAGUAGGGCUACACACGUGCUACAAUGGCAUAUACAAAGAGAAGCGACCUCGCGAGAGCAAGCGGACCUCAUAAAGUAUGUCGUAGUCCGGAUUGGAGUCUGCAACUCGACUCCAUGAAGUCGGAAUCGCUAGUAAUCGUAGAUCAGAAUGCUACGGUGAAUACGUUCCCGGGCCUUGUACACACCGCCCGUCACACCAUGGGAGUGGGUUGCAAAAGAAGUAGGUAGCUUAACCUUCGGGAGGGCGCUUACCACUUUGUGAUUCAU